rnacentral:misc_RNA from 1 species
GAACAAUCUGGCUUCCCGUCAUUGCUCAAAAAUGGUUUGUCUAAAUUGGGUGUACCAAAGGAAUUUCUUGAGUUCUUCUCUCGACGAACGGGCAAUUAUCCUCGCAUUCCAGAGGCAAAAGGAUCCAUUAGUGCUAUUCGGGAUGAGCCAUUCUUCAUGCCGCUUUAUGAGCUUUACCUUACUUAUGGCGGAAUUUUCCGGUUGAUUUUUGGUCCCAAGUCUUUUUUAAUAGUUUCUGAUCCAUCAAUAGCCAAACACAUACUGAAAGAUAAUUCUAAGGCUUAUUCUAAGGGUAUCCUAGCUGAAAUAUUGGACUUUGUGAUGGGAAAGGGACUUAUACCUG